rnacentral:lncRNA from 1 species
GUAGAACCAUUAUUUGGGGGGCUUGGCUUCCGGAAAACUCAAACCACGUCACAUUAGAAAAGGUCAGGAGGCAUUUCCACAGGGAUGCAGACCUGACAUUUUUUCUCAUGUUCUCAACCUUUCAUCUGGAGCAGAGACCACCCCCUCCCUGCUGACCCAAUGCAUCCACCAGAGGCAUCCCUGGCCACCUAGUUCCCUGGACCAAGAUGAGGCCUUGCUAUGUCCCAGGCCCUGCUGGGAUCCCCCUACACCUCCUGAUGCUGCUGAUAGCCACAAAGGGAAGCAGAGAAGUGAACCCCAGUGGCCACCACACUGCAAGCAUCAGGAAACAUUUACUGCCUAGAAGGAUGACCUCUGGACUCAGAAUCCAAAGGAUAAUGAAUGCAGACAGGGAGGAGCAAUAAAUCAUUUAUGAAUUGCCGACAGAACCUUUUAUGCUUGAAGGAAACAUGGCUGUGUGUGAUUCAGGGAAAGCUGAACUUGGCAUCUUCUCCUAAACCCACUCUGAUGUGUUCAACGUCGCCUCCUUCGUUGCUCAGAUGGGAAAACCAGGUGAUUCAGUUUCUCCACUGGAAAAAGUCCUCCAUGCCCCUCUCUCCAUUCUCUAUACAGUGUGAGUAUAGCCUCAGUUGCAUUAUAUAAUGGCUGCUAGUGUUCUGGACCUAGGUGAGUAUGGUGCACUAAAGAAGGUCAUUGAGUUUUUUUUUCCAUUUUUCUCUCAGAAAGUGAUAUUUUUUCCCCUUAAAUCUGAAUUGGCUUUGUGACUACUUUAACCGUAAAAUAUAGUGGAAAUGAUGCUGUGACAAUUCUAAGGUUAGCCUUCAGAAGGCUUGGAUGUGUCCACUUUUGUACUCUUAGGAGCCCUGAGAUACCAUGUAAUAAGGCUAGCUAUCUUGCUGGGGAGGCCGUGAAGAAAGGCCACAAUCAGAGGACAAGCAUAGAGAAGGCGGCCCUGAAACACGGGUAAAGAGAGGCCCCAACAUCCCAGCAGCCCAGCUUAUCCCAGCCUUCUAGCGUGAACAACCAAGGCACCAGAUAGGUGAGUUAGCCAUUUUGGAUGUUGCAG